GGUGGCAUAGCUCAGGAGGUAGAGUGGGUGGCCUAAGAACCAGAGGGUGCCUGGUUGAAUUCCUGGCUCCUCCA